UACCAGCUCUCCGAGUGGUGGGGAUGAUUAUUGGGCUUAAAGCGUCCGUAGCCGGCUUAGCAAGUCUCCUGUUAAAUUCAGCGACCUAAUCGUUGAGCCGCGGGAGAUACUACUAGGCUAGGAGGCGGGAGAGGUCAACGGUACUUCCGGGGUAGGGGUGAAAUCCUAUAAUCCCGGGAGGACCACCAGUGGCGAAGGCUGUUGACUAGAACGCGCUCGACGGUGAGGGACGAAAGCUGGGGGAGCGAACCGGAUUAGAUACUCGGGUAGUCCCAGCUGUAAACGAUGCGAGCUAGGUGUUGGGGUGGCUACGUGCCACUUCAGUGCCGCAGGGAAGCCAUUAAGCUCGCCGCCUGGGGAUACGGCCGCAAGGCUGAAACUUAAAGAUUGGCGGGGAGCACCACAAGGCGUGAAGCUUGCGGUUC
rnacentral:rRNA from 1 species